rnacentral:rRNA from 1 species
UACAUGUGGGGCAAGCGUUGUUCGGAAUUACUGGGCAUAAAGGGUGCGUAGGCGGCUUGUUAAGUCAGGGGUGAAAGUUUUCGGCCCAACCGGAAAAUUGCCUUUGAUACUGGAGAGCUGGAGUGCGUGAGGGGUGACCGGAACGAGUGGUGUAGCGGUGAAAUGCGUAGAUAUCGGGAGGAACACCUGUGGCGAAAGCGGCUCACUGGACCACAACUGACGCUGAGGCGCGAAAGCUAGGGGAGCAAACAGG